UACGGAGGGUGCAAGCGUUAUCCGGAAUCAUUGGGUUUAAAGGGUCCGCAGGCGGGAAGAUAAGUCAGUGGUGAAAUCUCACAGCUCAACUGUGAAACUGCCAUUGAUACUGUCUUUCUUGAAUUCGAUCGAAGUGGGCGGAAUGUGACAUGUAGCGGUGAAAUGCUUAGAUAUGUCACAGAACACCGAUAGCGAAGGCAGCUUACUAAACUAAUAUUGACGCUCAUGCACGAAAGCGUGGGGAGCGAACAGGAUUAGAUACCCGGGUAGU
rnacentral:rRNA from 1 species